rnacentral:rRNA from 1 species
AUUGAACGCUGGCGGCAGGCCUAACACAUGCAAGUCGAGCGGAUGAAGGGAGCUUGCUCCUGGAUUCAGCGGCGGACGGGUGAGUAAUGCCUAGGAAUCUGCCUGGUCGUGGGGGAUAACGUCCGGAAACGGGCGCUAAUACCGCAUACGUCCUGAGGGAGAAAGUGGGGGAUCUUCGGACCUCACGCUAUCAGAUGAGCCUAGGUCGGAUUAGCUAGUUGGUGGGGUAAAGGCCUACCAAGGCGACGAUCCGUAACUGGUCUGAGAGGAUGAUCAGUCACACUGGAACUGAGACACGGUCCAGACUCCUACGGGAGGCAGCAGUGGGGAAUAUUGGACAAUGGGCGAAAGCCUGAUCCAGCCAUGCCGCGUGUGUGAAGAAGGUCUUCGGAUUGUAAAGCACUUUAAGUUGGGAGGAAGGGCAGUAAGUUAAUACCGUGCUGUUUUGACGUUACCAACAGAAUAAGCACCGGCUAACUUCGUG